rnacentral:rRNA from 1 species
UGGGGAAUCUUGGACAAUGGGGGCAACCCUGAUCCAGCCAUGCCGCGUGAGUGAUGAAGGCCUUAGGGUCGUAAAGCUCUUUCGCCUGUGAAGAUAAUGACGGUAGCAGGUAAAGAAACCCCGGCUAACUCCGUGCCAGCAGCCGCGGUAAUACGGAGGGGGUUAGCGUUGUUCGGAAUUACUGGGCGUAAAGCGCACGUAGGCGGACCAGAAAGUUGGGGGUGAAAUCCCGGGGGCUCAACCCCGGAACUGCCUCCAAAACUAUUGGUCUAGAGUUCGAGAGAGGUGAGUGGAAUUCCAAGUGUAGAGGUGAAAUUCGUAGAUAUUUGGAGGAACACCAGUGGCGAAGGCGGCUCACUGGCUCGAUACUGACGCUGAGGUGCGAAAGUGUGGGGAGCAAAACAGGAUUAGAUACCCCUGGUAGUCCACGCCGUAAAACGAUGAGCACUCGGUGCCGCGGGGUAUCGACCCCUGCGGUGCCUGAGCUAACGCAUUAAGUGCUCCGCCUGGGGAGUACGGUCGCAAGGCUGAAACUC